GUCGACGUAGCUCAGCAGGAUAGAGCAACUGCCUCCUAAGCAGUAGGUCGGAGGUUCGAAUCCCCUCGUCGACGCCA
rnacentral:tRNA from 1 species